rnacentral:rRNA from 1 species
GACAGAGGGUGCAAACGUUGUUCGGAAUUACUGGGCGUAAAGCGCGUGUAGGCUGCUCCGCAAGUCGGAUGUGAAAGCCCUGGGCUCAACCUAGGAAGUGCAUUCGAUACUGCAGAGCUGGAGUCCUGGAGAGGAAGGCGGAAUUCUCGGUGUAGAGGUGAAAUUCGUAGAUAUCGAGAGGAACACCGGUGGCGAAGGCGGC